rnacentral:rRNA from 1 species
GAACACGAGUGGCGCACGGGUGCGUAACACGUAUGCAACCUACCUAUCAGAGGGGGAUAGUCGCGGGAAACUGCGAAUAAUAUCCCAUAUGCUCACGGAUUGGCAUCGAUCUGUGAGGAAAGCUCCGGCGCUGAUAGAUGGGCAUGCGUCCCAUUAGCUAGUUGGUAAGGUAACGGCUUACCAAGGCCACGAUGGGUAGCUGGUCUGAGAGGAUGAUCAGCCACACGGGCACUGAGACACGGGCCCGACUCCUACGGGAGGCAGCAGUAAGGAAUAUUGGACAAUGGGGGCAACCCUGAUCCAGCCAUGCCGCGUGGAGGAAGACGGUUCUCUGAAUUGUAAACUCCUUUUAUGUAGGGAUAAUAAUGUUCUAUACGGACAGAUGCAGGUACUACAUGAAUAAGCACCGGCUAACUACGUGCCAGCAGCCGCGGUAUUACGUAGGGUGCAAGCGUUGUCCGGAUUUAUUGGGUUUAAAGGGUGCGCAGGCGGCGUAUUAAGUUAGUGGUGAAAUCUUCCGGCUUAACCGGAACCCCGCCAUUGAUACUGGUAUGCUUGAGUAUGUUCGAGGAAGUUGGAAUGCGUGGUGUAGCGGUGAAAUGCAUAGAUAUCACGCAGAACACCGAUUGUGAAGGCAGACUUCUAGGACAUAACUGACGCUGAGGCACGAAAGCGUGGGGAGCGAACAGGAUUAGAUACCCUGGUAGUCCACGCUGUAAACGAUGGUCACUAGAUGUCCGGUAUUUCGGUACUGGGUGUCCAAGGGAAACCGAUAAGUGACCCACCUGGGGAGUACGUCGGCAAC